UACGUAGGGGGCGAGCGUUGUGCGGAUUUAUUGGGCGUAAAGAGCUCGUAGGCGGCUUAGCAAGUCGGGUGUGAAAACUCCAGGCUCAACCUGGAGACGCCACUCGAGACUGCUAUGGCUAGAGUCCGGUAGGGGACCACGGAAUUCCUGGUGUAGCGGUGAAAUGCGCAGAUAUCAGGAGGAACACCGGUGGCGAAGGCGGUGGUCUGGGCCGGCACUGACGCUGAGGUGCGAAAGCGUGGGGAGCAAACAGG
rnacentral:rRNA from 1 species